rnacentral:rRNA from 1 species
ACUAACAAUGGAUUCCCCUAGUAAACUGCGGAGUGGAGAAGGGAAAAGCUUCAAUUUAAAAUCUGGCAGCCUUUGGUUGUUCCGAGUGUAAUUCUAGGAGGAAGUGCUACCCCGCGCCGGACCGUGUAUAAGUCUCCUGGAAUCGCGGCGUCAUAGAGGGGUGAGAAUCCCGUCUUCGACACGGAUCCCCCGGGGCUUGUGGUGCGCUCUCAAAGAGUCGAGUUGUUUGGGAAUGCAGCUCAAAAUGGGUGGUAAAUUCCAUCUAAAGCUAAAUAUUGGCGAGAGACCGAUAGCGAACAAGUACCGUGAGGGAAAGAUGAAAAGAACUUUGGAAAGAGAGUUAAACAGUACGUGAAAUUGCUGAAAGGGAAACGCUUGAAGUCAGUCGCGUCGGCUGGAAAUCAACCUUGCUUUUGUUGGGUGUACUUUCCAGUUGACGGGCCAGCAUCAGUUUUGACCGAUGGAAAAAGUCCAGAGGAAGGUGGCACCUUCGGGUGUGUUAUAGCCUUUGGUCGUAUACAUCGGUUGGGACUGAGGAACUCAGCACGCCGCAAGGCCGGUCUUCGGACACGUUCGUGCUUAGGAUGCUGGCAUAAUGGCUUUAAUCGACCCGUCUUGAAACACGGACCAAGGAGUCUAACAUGCCUGCGAGUGUUUGGGUGGAAAACCCGAGCGCGUAAUGAAAGUGAAAGUCGAGAUCCUUGUCAUGGGGAGCAUCGACGCCCGGACCAGAAGUUCUCUGACGGUUCCGCGGUAGAGCAUGUAUGUUGGGACCCGAAAGAUGGUGAACUAUGCCUGAAUAGGGUGAAGCCAGAGGAAACUCUGGUGGAGGCUCGUAGCGAUUCUGACGUGCAAAUCGAAUCGUCAAAUUUGGGUAUAGGGGGCGAAAGACUAAUCGAACCAUCUAGUAGCUUGGUUCCUGCCGAAGUUUUCCCUCAGGAUAGCAGAAACUCAAUAUCAGAUUUAUGGUGGUAAAGCGAAUGAUUUAGAGGUCCUUGGGGUGAAACAAUCUUAACCUAUUCUUCAACUUUAAAUAUGUAAGACACAAACCGUUCUCUUACUGUAGCGGCUUGGACGUUCGAUCCCCCCCC